rnacentral:tRNA from 1 species
AAUGAGGUGGCUGAGAGUAGGCGUUAGAUUGUAAAUCUAAAUAGAAGCGAAAGCUUUCUUAUUA